AGGAAAGCAGGGGAUCGCAAGACCUUGCGCUUUUGGAGCGGCCGAUGUCUGAUUAGCUAGUUGGUGAGGUAAAGGCUUACCAAGGCUUCGAUCAGUAGCUGGUCUGAGAGGACGACCAGCCACACUGGGACUGAGACACGGCCCAGACUCCUACGGGAGGCAGCAGUGGGGAAUUUUGGACAAUGGGGGAAACCCUGAUCCAGCCAUGCCGCGUGAGUGAAGAAGGCCUUCGGGUUGUAAAGCUCUUUCAGCCGGAACGAAACGGUCACGGUUAAUACCCGUGAUCACUGACGGUACCGGAAGAAGAAGCACCGGCUAACUACGUGCCAGCAGCCGCGGUAAUACGUAGGGUGCGAGCGUUAAUCGGAAUUACUGGGCGUAAAGCGUGCGCAGGCGGUUUUGUAAGUCAGAUGUGAAAUCCCCGGGCUCAACCUGGGAACUGCGUUUGAAACUACAAGGCU
rnacentral:rRNA from 1 species